AACGGCCGUACCAUGCUGAAUAUACCGGUUCUCGUUAGAUCACCGAAGUCAAGCAUCAUUGGGCGCGGUCAGUACAUGGGUGGGUGACCACCUGGGAACGCUGCGUGCCGUU